AUACGAUGAGUUUUGAAUGCUAACUUUCAAAUUCAGUCAUCUAAAUAGGGUUUGAUAUGUAGGCUGAUGAAAAACUAAGUUGUGUGUACAAUUUAAUCACAAUUUUGAUAAAUAUACAAGACUCCACAGACGUAUGGAUAUUGUUGAACCAUAUAAUUUGCAUUUUUCCUAUCUCUAGUUCUGGUUUUACUUGUUUUCAAAUUUG
rnacentral:misc_RNA from 1 species